GGUAACCCCCUUGGAUCCCCUUCCACACUGUGGGAGGUUUGUUCUUUUGCUCUUUGCAAUAAAGCUUGCUGCUGCUCACUCUUUGGGUCCAGACUGUCUUUAUGAGCUAUAACACUCACCGGGAAGGUCUGCAGCUUCACUCCUGAAGCCAAGGAGACCACGAACCCACCGGGAGGAAGGAACAACUACAGACACGCCGGCUUAAGAGCUGUAGCACUCACUGCGAAGGUCCGCAGCUUCACUCUUGAGCCAGAGACCACGAACCCACCAGAAGGAAGAAACUCCAAACACAUCCGAACAUCAGAAGGAAAAAACUCCAGACACGCCGCCUUUAAGAACUGCAACACUGCGAGGGUCCGCGGCUUCAUUCUUGAAGUCAGUGAGACCAAGAACCCACCAAUUCCAGACACACUACCAAAGGCAGAGGGGAGCUCCUAGACAAAGAGACAAGGUCUUGCUCUGUCACCCUGGCUGGUCUUGAACUCCUGGCUUCAAGCAAUUCAUCCAUCUCAGCCUCCUGAGUAGCUGGGAUUACAGGUACAAGCCACUGCACCCAGCUGUUUUUUGUUUUGUUUUGUGUUUUCUCCUCACCAUAUAAGUUUAAUUGCCUAGUUUAAGCUCCUACCGUCUUUCAUCUUCAACACAGAACUAUCUUGGUGUUAAGAAAUCUAUCUUUAACAUUUGCUGAUUGGCUGACUAAUCACUGUAUUAUGAGUUAUAUCCAUUAUAAUGUUUUUAACAUGUUUAUUUUACUCAAUGGGGAAUCUAGAUGACUUGCUGCAUGUGAAGAACAGUUCCUGGCACAGGGUUUGCUCCAAAUAAAUGUUGUCAUCAUCACCAGCACCAUCAUCGUCACCAUCAUCAUAAAUGUAAACAUAAUAAUAGCAAAUACCUUACUGAGCUUAAAUGUAUGUUUAAUUCAAUGUAUUUAAAAUUAAAUCCUUUAUCUCU
rnacentral:lncRNA from 1 species